AGCUUUGCGCAGUGGCAGUAUCGUAGCCAAUAAGGUUUAUCCGAGGUGCGAUUAUUGCUAAUUGAAAAAACUAAGUUUCAUUUUCUCUUGCACAUUCAUUUUCUAGUUCAUUAAUUUGGGGGCUCUUAUAUUUUUUAAU